rnacentral:rRNA from 1 species
GAUGAACGCUGGCGGCGUGCCUAAUACAUGCCAGUCGAGCGAACGGACGAGAAGCUUGCUUUUCUGAUGUUAGCGGCGGACGGGUGAGUAACACGUGGAUAACCUACUUAUAAGACUGGGAUAACUUCGGGAAACCGGAGCUAAUACCGGAUAAUAUUUUGAACCGCAUGGUUCAAAAGUGAAAGACGGUCUUGCUGUCACUUAUAGCUGGAUCCGCGCUGCAUUAGCUAGUUGGUAAGGUAACGGCUUACCAAGGCAACGAUGCAUAGCCGACCUGAGAGGGUGAUCGGCCACACUGGAGCGGGAACACGGUCCAGACUCCUACGGGAGGCAGCAGAAGGGAAUCUUCCGCAAUGGGCGAAAGCCUGGCGGAGCAACGCCGCGUGAGUGAUGAAGGUCUUCGGAUCGUAAAACUCUGUUAUUAGGGAAGAACAGAUGUGUAAGUAACUGUGCACAUCUUGACGGUACCUAAUCAGAAAGCCACGGCUAACUACGUG